AUUUAGAAGGCUGUGGCUUUCAUCUUACUUUAACCAGAUGCAGAUUACAUGAACUAUUCGUUGAUUUUUAUUUUGUUAAUCAACAACUCUAAUUACAUUGAGUAGGCAAAUAAUCGCGGAAGCGUCAAUUAGAGUUGUGAAGCUGUUAAUUGUGACGGGACUAAUGGAAGCUCAACAAACUCCAGAUAAAGGCGAGAUCUGAUUUAUACAGAACACAAAAUAGGCGUGGAGCAAUGUGCGAUAUGGAUGACCACUUCUGCAUUUAAUUGUUUUUAUUUGUACAGUUAUGGUGUUGAUGAAGCAUGGCAUAACCAAAGGAAGGCCAAUUUAAAGCUGUAUUUAACUCCUUUAAAUGAAGAGCUCUCAAUGAAGAUAUAGGAAAAUGAAUAGGAAACUUUCAAUCCAAAUUAAUGGAUUUUUCUUUACUAAUUAUGGCCAAAAAUAUCAUUUUUAAUAGUUUAAGGCAGAUCUGAUAAAUAAUUUGUUGACCCUCCGGUCUCCUUACGCUGUUUCAUCGUUAUGUUUCAAUCCUUCGUAAUAUUUUGCACAAAAUUAUAAAUAUUUAAAGAAAAAGACGGGAAAUAGCCCGAAAAACUUACACAUCCGUCGAAUAAGACGGUAGAUGAUCCCCACUUAGAAUCGCUUUGCAGAACAAGCGUCUAGGAGGUCUAUCAGAAACCCUAGACGUAGAGAUUUAAUAUUAGUGGAAUUAUAAUGUCCAAUAUUUUGUCAUCAUUUGGGAUUAUAUGGGAUUCUUCUGAGGACUGAAUUGCCUAAAAGCACCUGUAAAUAUUUAUAAAAAUCCCUCUGUCAACAUUCGGCCGUUACUCUGAGAUCAGAAAAAAGGAAAGAUGUUCGAGCUAGAUAUGGGAACAUACCGAUAUCGCCCGCUCCAGAGAUCAACACUCUUUUGUUUUAUAUGAGUUUUCAUUUAGAAAUGACGCUGUCGUUUUGAUUAUUAUUUUAAUUUAAAGCAUCGGUUUGGAAUUCAUAAAUGUGUUCAAGUACG
rnacentral:sRNA from 1 species